GUUUUAUUGAUUAUAAUUUUAAGUCUGAUCUGCCCAGUGAAUUUUAAAUGGCUGCAGUAUUUUAACUGUACAAAGGUAGCAUAAUAAUUAGUUUCUUAAUUAGGAACUGGAAUGAAAGAUUGAACGAGAUAAUGACUGUCUUAAUUUAAUUUAAAGAAUUUUAUUUUUAAGUUAAAAAGCUUAAAUUUUUUUAAAAGACGAGAAGACCCUAUAGAAUUUUAUUUGAUUAUGAAAUUUAAAUUUUGGUAUUUAAAUUUUGAAUUUUUAUAGGAAAAAUUUAAUUGGGGUGAUUAAAAAAUUUAUGAAACUUUUUUUUUUAUUUUAGACAUAAAUUUAUGAAUUAUUGAUCCAAUAUUGUUGAUUAUAAGAUUAAAUUACCUUAGGGAUAACAGCGUAAUUUUUUUAGAGAGUUCUUAUCGAUAAAAGAGAUUGCGACCUCGAUGUUGGAUUAAAAUUAAUUUUUAAUGUAGAAGUUAAAAUAUUAGGUCUGUUCGACCUUUA
rnacentral:rRNA from 1 species